CGGGCUAUCAUGCAGUCGAGCGGAAGAUGGGAGCUUGCUCCCUGAUGUUACGGCGGACGGGUGAGUAACACGUGGGUAACCUGCCUGUAAGACUGGGAUAACUCCGGGAAACCGGGGCUAAUACCGGAUGGUUGUCUGAACCGCAUGGUUCAGACAUAAAAGGUGGCUUCGGCUACCACUUACAGAUGGACCCGCGGCGCAUUAGCUAGUUGGUGAGGUAACGGCUCACCAAGGCGACGAUGCGUAGCCGACCUGAGAGGGUGAUCGGCCACACUGGGACUGAGACACGGCCCAGACUCCUACGGGAGGCAGCAGUAGGGAAUCUUCCGCAAUGGACGAAAGUCUGACGGAGCAACGCCGCGUGAGUGAUGAAGGUUUUCGGAUCGUAAAGCUCUGUUGUUAGGGAAGAACAAGUGCCGUUCAAAUAGGGCGGCACCUUGACGGUACCUAACCAGAAAGCCACGGCUAACUACGUGCCAGCAGCCGCGGUAAUACGUAGGUGGCAAGCGUUGUCCGGAAUUAUUGGGCGUAAAGGGCUCGCAGGCGGUUUCUUAAGUCUGAUGUGAAAGCCCCCGGCUCAACCGGGGAGGGUCAUUGGAAACUGGGGAACUUGAGUGCAGAAGAGGAGAGUGGAAUUCCACGUGUAGCGGUGAAAUGCGUAAAGAUGUGGAGGAACACCAGUGGCGAAGGCGACUCUCUGGUCUGUAACUGACGCUGAGGAGCGAAAGCGUGGGGAGCGAACAGGAUUAGAUACCCUGGUAGUCCACGCCGUAAACGAUGAGUGCUAAGUGUUAGGGGGGUUCCGCCCCUUAAUGCUGCAACUAACGCAUUAACACUCCGCCUGGGGAUACGGUCGCAAACUGAACUCAAAGGAUUGACGGGGCCCCACAGCGGGGAACUGUGGUUAUUCCAGCACCGGAAAACCU
rnacentral:rRNA from 1 species